GAUAAUUUAAUCGUUACUCGUAUAAUUUCUAGAAUAUGGCUAGAAAGUUUCUACUAAUGACCGUAAAUCAUUUAGCUAUGAGUGAAAGUGUA
rnacentral:ncRNA from 1 species